rnacentral:rRNA from 1 species
UCAUCCUACGGGGCGCAGCAGUGGGGAAUAUUGCACAAUGGGAGGAACCCUGAUGCAGCGACGCCGCGUGGGUGAAGGAGUACUUCGGUACGUAAAGCCCUAUCAGCAGGAAAGAAAAUGACGGUACCUGACUAAGAAGCCCCGGCUAACUACGUGCCAGCAGCCGCGGUAAUACGUAGGUGGCAAGCGUUGUCCGGAUUUACUGGGUGUAAAGGGCGUGUAGCCGGGUUGACAAGUCAGAUGUGAAAUCCUGCGGCUUAACCGCAGAACUGCAUUUGAAACUGUUGAUCUUGAGUACUGGAGAG